rnacentral:rRNA from 1 species
CCUACGGGUGGCAGCAGUGGGGAAUAUUGGACAAUGGGGGGAACCCUGAUCCAGCCAUGCCGCGUGUGUGAAGAAGGCCCUCGGGUUGUAAAGCACUUUCAGUGAGGAAGAACGCCUGGUGGUUAAUACCCAUCAGGAAAGCCAUCACUCACAGAAGAAGCACCGGCUAACUCCGUGCCAGCAGCCGCGGUAAUACGGAGGGUGCGAGCGUUAAUCGGAAUUACUGGGCGUAAAGCGCGCGUAGGUGGCUUGAUAAGCCGGUUGUGAAAGCCCCGGGCUCAACCUGGGAACGGCAUCCGGAACUGUCAAGCUAGAGUGCAGGAGAGGAAGGUAGAAUUCCCGGUGUAGCGGUGAAAUGCGUAGAGAUCGGGAGGAAUACCAGUGGCGAAGGCGGCCUUCUGGACUGACACUGACACUGAGGUGCGAAAGCGUGGGUAGCAAACAGGAUUAGAUACCCCAGUAGUC